rnacentral:tRNA from 1 species
GCCCAGUUGAUCCUCGGUGGUCCGGGGUGCAGGCUUCAAACCUGUAGCUGAUUAGCGUCAGAGUGGUUCAACUCCACCUGCUGGGCG